AGAGUUUGAUCCUGGCUCAGGACGAACGCUGGCGGCGUGCCUAACACAUGCAAGUCGAGCGGAGACAGUGAGUAGCUUGCUAUGAGCUGUUUUAGCGGCGGACGGGUGAGUAACGCGUGAGCAACCUUUCCCAGACAGGGGAAUAACACACCGAAAGGUGUACUAAUACCGCUUAAGACCACGGGAUCACAUGGUUCUGGGGUAAAAGAUUUAUCGGUUUGGGGUGGGCUCGCGUCCGAUUAGGUAGUUGGUGAGGUAACGGCCCACCAAGCCGACGAUCGGUAGCCGACCUGAGAGGGUGAUCGGCCACAUUGGGACUGAGACACGGCCCAAACUCCUACGGGAGGCAGCAGUGGGAAUAUUGGGCAAUGGAGGAAACUCUGACCCAGCAACGCCGCGUGGAGGAAGAAGGUUUUCGGAUCGUAAACUCCUGUCCUUGGAGACGAGUAGAAGACGGUAUCCAAGGAGGAAGCCCCGGCUAACUACGUGCCAGCAGCCGCGGUAAUACGUAGGGGGCAAGCGUUGUCCGGAAUAAUUGGGCGUAAAGGGCGCGUAGGCGGCUCGGUAAGUCUGGAGUGAAAGUCCUGCUUUUAAGGUGGGAAUUGCUUUGCAUACUGUCGGGCUUGAGUGCAGGAGAGGUUAGUGGAAUUCCCAGUGUAGCGGUGAAAUGCGUAGAGAUUGGGAGGAACACCAGUGGCGAAGGCGACUAACUGGACUGUAACUGACGCUGAGGCGCGAAAGUGUGGGGAGCAAACAGGAUUAGAUACCCUGGUAGUCCACACUGUAAACGAUGAAUGCUAGGUGUAGGGGGUAUCGACCCCUUCUGUGCCGCAGUCAACACAAUAAGCAUUCCGCCUGGGGAGUACGGCCGCAAGGUUGAAACUCAAAGGAAUUGACGGGGGCCCGCACAAGCAGCGGAGCAUGUGGUUUAAUUCGACGCAACGCGAAGAACCUUACCAGGUCUUGACAUCCACUUAAACUUACAGAGAUGUAAGGUGUGCUUGCACAAAGUGAGACAGGUGGUGCAUGGUUGUCGUCAGCUCGUGUCGUGAGAUGUUGGGUUAAGUCCCGCAACGAGCGCAACCCUUAUCUUCAGUUACUAACGCGUGAGGGUGAGGACUCUGAAGAGACUGCCGGGGACAACUCGGAGGAAGGUGGGGACGACGUCAAAUCAUCAUGCCCCUUAUGACCUGGGCUACACACGUGCUACAAUGGCCACGACAGAGAGAAGCGAAAUCGCAAGGUAGAGCGGAACUCAAAAAAGUGGUCCCAGUUCGGAUUGUGGGCUGCAACCCGCCCACAUGAAGUCGGAGUUGCUAGUAAUCGCGGAUCAGCAUGCCGCGGUGAAUACGUUCCCGGGCCUUGUACACACCGCCCGUCACACCAUGGGAGUUGGGAGUGCCCAAAGCCGGUGAGGCAACCGCAAGGAGCCAGCCGUCUAAGGCAAGACCAAUGACUGGGGUGAAGUCGUAACAAGGUA
rnacentral:rRNA from 1 species